AGAGAACAAUGUUACUAUAAGAACUAGGACGGGAGGGGCAUUGACUAAAAGAAGGGAAGGAACAAUCAAUCAGUGCUAGAUCAUUAAGUCUUCGCACUUCACAUGCAACGGCAGAGGAUCGGUGAAUAUUCACACGGGUUGCAUGGAACUGGUUCCACUUCUCCGCAGACACCUAAACCCCGAAACAGAAAGAUUAUCCUUUAAAGAGGAUACUGUUUAAUGGAAUAGCAUCAUCUACUAUGAUUGUUCAUCCACAUUUUUUGCAAGAUAAGGUACUUCCACCAGGUCUGGUGCUCCACUAUGUUCGGUAGUCCCAUAGACAGUAAUUGGACCAUUGGCCGAGCAUGUGUACUGCCGCUUCAUCCACUCGGAGGACGACUGACUUCCGUUCUUGUGAUCAGUGGGUUUCCCAGUGUUUGGACCCCCACAAAUCAGAUCGGUUUUAAUUUUGGGAAAACCCCUUUAAAAUGGCUUCACCAGAUACCAGGAUCCCACUGACGUAAAGGGAAACAAUUUCCAGCCUCAUAAUAGAAAGUAGUUGUCACCACGCCAGACUCAUCAUUGUCUGCUUCUCUUGGAAACAAGCCGAUAGGAAUAAACAUUUUACAGAAUGGCAUUUUGUUAGUCAAGAGACACCAAUUAAAUGGGUACAAAACUCCCCUUGUAAAUAAUUUAGCAGUGCCAGUGAAGUCAUAUAACACCAUUUAUAUAUGCGUUCUUCAUCAGUUGCUCACCAAGUGGUAAAUUAGAUGUCGGCGUGCCAUCAUGCCAAUUUGGUUUACAGACACUUAGAAAUCAGUCAGCUGCAUGCCACG